rnacentral:rRNA from 1 species
UGAGGAACAUGACUUUCGGCGGGGGAUAGCCGGCCCAACGGCCGGGUAAUACCGCGUACGACCACAUGGGGACAUCCCUGAGUGGUGAAAGCAGCAAUGCGCCGAUGGAGUGCCUCGCGGCCUAUUAGCUAGUUGGUGAGGUAACGGCUCACCAAGGCGACGACGGGUAGCUGGUCUGAGAGGAUGGCCAGCCACAGUUGGGACUGAGACACGGUCCAGACUCCGUAGGG